GAUAAACUUGGUCUUGUGUGAUACAUAUAUGUUUCUUAUCAGAUUUAAUUAAUGAAGUUUUGGUGCAUUUUAACCAGUAAUAAGGCUACAAAAGUAGCAUCAGGUGUAUUCUAACCAUUGGUAUUUUUCCUGGCAACAUUUCUAUUCUAGUCUGUGAUAAAUUAUAAAUAAAAAAAAAUGUUUGUAAUGUUUCAGUUAUUAACAAGUAGAACCAUGGCAACCAGUUCUGAUGAUGUACCAGAAUGGCUCAAGGAUCAUACUUAUACUAUUUCUACUCUCUGGGCAUCCAUUCAAUAUUUAAUUUAUGUUUGGAAAUGCAAGAAAAAGGCAUGCAUUCCUGAAAAGUCAAUGAUUGGUUGCACCUCUUAAAGAUAACUUUCUGUUAUGAGAAAAGAUGAGAUUCUUGGACUCCUGCAUAGCACCACCAGAAAGGAAAAUCCCAUCAUGUUGCAAAAUAAAAGUCUUGGACCAAUUUUAAUUUAAGAUAUAUAUAUUAUACUGUAAGCUGUAUACAUAUUUAUGUAUAUCCUGUCAUUCAGCCAACAGGUUUGGAUUUAGUAUUUCUUUAAAUCUGUUUGAUAUUGUACUUGAAAACUAUUAAUCUGAGCCCCAUUAAAACAAGAGGGAGUGCAGUGGAUGAGUGGUAAGGGAAAUUUUACUUUUUUAAAAUUAAAAUAAGAAUCUAACAAAAGUAAACAUAUAAAAUAUGGUGCAUUCUCCUUAAAACUAAAACCUGGUGCAAAGGUUUAAAAUGUUGGCAAAAAAAAAGCAACAUCAAUUAAAUAUUCUUAAUUCCCUUUGCAAAACUUACUGAGAAGAACAUGCAUGUUGUUCCCUCAUAAGUUUCUUGACAGAGGAAAUCUUGUUUAUAUUAGAUUUGAAUUAAGCAAAUUAAGAAAAAAAUUAUAAUCAUUAUUUCAAAUGGUUGUAUCUAAACCUUAUGAAUUAUUUUUCAGUUAUAAGUAUAUUGAAAUGAAUGGAUAAUCAUGAAAUUGUUAAAUAAUUGCUGCUAUCAUUCCAUUGACCAUAACUUUUUUUUAAAUUAAUUUCAAAAUGAUUUUUUUCAAGCAGAGUUCACAUAGAUCUUGAGUGAAAUUUUUCUUUUUUUGACUAAUGCUUCAAUUUUAUUGUAUCAUUAGUU